AGUGAACGCUGGCGGUAUGCCUAACACAUGCAAGUCGAACGGCAGCACAGUAAGAGCUUGCUCUUACGGUUGGCGAGUGGCGGACGGGUGAGGAAUACAUCGGAAUCUACUUUUUCGUGGGUGAUAACGUAGGGAAACUUACGCUAAUACCGCAUACGACCUACGGGUGAAAUCAGGGGAUCUUCGGACCUUGCGCGAUUGAAUGAGCCGAUGUCGGAUUAGCUAGUUGGCUGGGUAAAGGCCCACCAAGGCAACGAUCCGUAGCUGGUCUGAGAGGAUGAUCAGCCACACUGGAACUGAGACACGGUCCAGACUCCUACGGGAGGCAGCAGUGGGGAAUAUUGGACAAUGGGCGCAAGCCUGAUCCAGCCAUACCGCGUGGGUGAAGAAGGCCUUCGGGUUGUAAAGCCCUUUUGUUAGGAAAGAAAAGCAGCAGGUUAAUACGCGGCUGUUCUGACGGUACCCAAAGAAUAAGCACCGGCUAACUUCGUG
rnacentral:rRNA from 1 species